CCUACGGGUGGCAGCAGUAGGGAAUAUUGCUCAAUGGGGGAAACCCUGAAGCAGCAACGCCGCGUGGGGGAUGAAGUUUUUCGGAUUGUAAACUCCUUUUGUUAGAGAAGAUAAUGACGGUAUCUAACGAAUAAGCACCCGCUAACUCCGUUCCAGGAGCCGCGGUAAUACGGAGGGGGCAAGCGUUACUCGGAAUCAAUGGGCGGAAAGGGAGCGUAGGCGGGAUAGCAAGUCAGAAGUGAAAUCCUAGGGCUUAACCAUUGAACUGCAUUUGAAACUGUUAUUCUAGAGUAUGGGAGAGGUAGGUGGAAUUCUUGGUGUAGGGGUAAAAUCCGUAGAUAUUAAGAGGAAUACUCGUUGCGAAGGCGACCUGCUAGAACAUAACUGACGCUGAUGCGCGAAAGCGUGGGGAGCAAACAGGAUUAGAUACCCUUGUAGUC
rnacentral:rRNA from 1 species